AUUGAAACACCAGAUCCCAUACGAUCAUGAAGUUAAGCAACAUCAAGCCUGGUCAGUACUUAGAGAGGUGACCAUUUGGGAAUGGCAGGUGCUGUAAG